UUAUGCCCACAAUGUUGUGUAAGGAAAAACAAUUAUUCUGAGCACAUUUUCCAAUUUCAAGUCUGGAUUCUCUAUAUCCUUUAAUCACAAUGUCAUAUAUGUUAAUAGAAUAGCAGUGUGUCAUAUGAAUCUCAAUUUUUUGAGCAAGAAAAUGAAUUUAGGGAUUUGAAUGAACAAGUGAAGAUAUUGCUGACAAUUAUGACAAGCACCAAGACUUAACCACCCAAACACAGGAUUCUGAAGAUAUUUUUACCAAGCAAUCUAUCUCUAUUAUUACAGAGGAUUUUCAAUAUGAACAUAAUAGCCCAACAUAAG